CCUUCACAAGCUUGGGAGCAUAUCAGUAUGGAUUUCAUUGAACAAUUGCUUCGAUCAAGGGGCAAGGAUACUGUGCUAUUGGUGAUUUGCAGAUUCUCUAAGUAUGCACACUUUAUUCUCUUAACUCAUCCUUUUUCUGCUAGAGACGUUGCCACAUUUUUCUUGGAUUUUGUGGCCAAAUUAAAUGGAGUUCCUCUGUCUAUUGUCUCUAAUAGGGAUAAAGUAUUUAUUAGCUUAUUUUGGAAGGAGCUUUUUAAAUUAUUGAGCACUAAACUCUGCUAUAGUUAAGCUUACCAUCCUCAAAAGUGAUGGUCAAUUUGAAAGACUCAAUCAAUGUUUAGAGGGAUAAUUAUGCAGCAUGAAUUUUAUGGCACCUUCCAAAUGGCUUAAGUGGCUUUUCUUGACUGAGUGGUGGUACAAUACUUCCCACCACAGUGCUAUUGGCAUAUCUCCUUUUGAAGAUCUAUAUGGCUACCCUCCACCCUCCUUGGCCUUACUUCCCUCACUGGAUGCUUCAAUAGCUUGUGUUUUUUAUUUCCUUCAAAAGGGACAAGCCAUUACUUAACUAUUAAAAAGCUACCUUCCACCCCCCUUGGCCUUACUUCCCUCACUGGAUACUCCAGUAGCUUCUGUUUUUUAUAUCCUUCAAAAGAGACAAGCCAUUACUCAACUAUUAAAAAGCAACCUGCUGGUUGCUCCGUUGAGAAUGAAGCAACAAGCAGACAAGAAGAGGACUAAAAGGGUAUUUGAAAUGGGAGAUUGGGUGUUUUUGAAGUUUCAACCCUACAGACAGACUUCUAUAGCUGUGAGGAAAUCCCUUAAGCUUUCAACCAAGUGUUAUGGUCCUUUUCAAAUAAUUGCCUAGGUUGGCUCAGUGUCCUAUAAAUUGCCACUUCCCCCUAAUUCUACCAUACAUCCAGUCUUCCAUUUUUCUUUGUUGAAAAAAAAAGCUCGGAGAUGCUAUUACUCUACAAGACUUACCAGUGAUGGCCAAUGAAGAAUUGGUAGUUGCUCCGGACUAUUUUGAGACAAGGGAAGAAAGUGCUUCAAGGCCUAGUUAAAUGGGUCAAUUUUCCUAUUGAAGAUGCUACUUGGAAAGAUCAAGCUCUCCUUUCAGCUCAAUUUCCAGAUUUAUCGUCUUCUUGGGGACAAGAAGGCGAUCAAGGGGAGGGUAUUGUUGUGUAUCGCUGAAAGAGAGAGUAAGUAGAAUUGGAGGGAAGCCUAAGGGUAGUUUGGUGUUAUUUGCAUAAGGUAGUUAUAGCAGCCGGAAGUUGUUAUCCAGCUGUAUUCUGUUAUAGAAACAAAAUAUAUAGAGAGGAACCACACUUGUAGAUAGGCAUCCAGAAAAUAGCUAAUACAAUACAAUGUCAAUUCCUCUCUAGUUCUAUUCUUUCUAUUCUCUCUUCUUACUUGCUUCUCUAUCUUUCUUCUUCUUCUUCUCUCUCGAAUCCUACUUAAUAUAUUGUUUGGCAGACUGCCACAGCACAAUCCUUUCCUUUGUUUUUUAUUAAUUGCAGGGGAAACUGCCAAUUUAAUUCUGUCGGUUACAAAAUUUUGCAAUUCUACCUUGAACUUUAAAAAUAACCAAUUAAACCCUAUACUCUGAAUAUUUUGAUAAUUGUAUCCUACCGUCUAUUUAGCCGUUAAUGAAAAAAAGUCACAUCAUGUGCCACGUGUGUAUACCACAUAAUACAAUAUAAUUACCAAAAAGACCUUAUGCUUUUUAAAUCAUUACAAUUUCACCAUAUGCUUUGAAAAUAACUAAUUAAACCCUAUAGUUUGAGCAUUUAACCAAUUAUAUCCCAC
rnacentral:lncRNA from 1 species